GACAUUCUGGUCUUCUGAGCUAUGACAAGCAUUGCACAUCAAGGUUCACUUACAGUUUUCUGGAGCUUCUCUACCCUCCAUCAUCAAAUCUUUCCUGACUCCUCCAAAGAACCAGUUCCAAAGGUUUUGAAAACACAUCAUCAGGUAGAAAGAAGAAAAGAAAGCAGGAAAGAUUGGAAAGAUAAAGGAAGUCUUUCAGGUGAAGGCUUGACUUUGCUACACAAUUAAAAAUUUGCAGCUAAUAAUGCUAAGAACCAGUGAAAUAAAUUAUUUGUGUUUGAUUAAAACAGAUGGAGUUUGACAAUCUUUAAUCAACAUUAAGAAAAGCCUGCUGAUUUAUCAAUGAAUUUAGGACUGGACUCAGAUGACCUUCCCUCCAUCAAGAAUGGAUUGAACUUGGGUCCUUGAGCUUGCGCAGCAGGCGGCGAAACCACUGAGCUAAAUCCCCGGCCCCUAAUUGGAUUCUUUUCUAAGAAAAUCAACAUAAAGUGGUUUAUAAAUUUCAACACAAGAAUUUUAAAAGAAAAAAUAAGAAAAAGGAGUGAGUAUGCACAGGCUGUCUGAGGUAGAGAGCUGCAUGCCUGAGAAGAUCAUCAUACCACACCUGAGUUUUCUACUCUUCAUUCCCAGGACUUUUGCAUUGUCUGAUGACUUCCACUAACAUAGAUGGAGGAUGUGCAACCUGUUUCAGUGGGACACUGAAAGCCCUGCCUGUGGUGCUUUGAAUUCUGGCUUGAGUUCGGGCAGCUGAGCCUGGUGAAAAAUUUCUGGCUGCCCAUGUGAAUGAGAGGCCUAGUUUAGGACUGCACAGAAAGUAAUGGCAAUUCUCAGAUGGGUUGUGUGUCAUGAAAUCUGGACUACGGCUGUCAACCCCAGCUAGGACACAAUCUGGGAGCACACAAGAAGAGUGUGGAGAAAAAUGGAAGAUAUUCACAGAGUCAUGCCUGACACACAUUAAGUAUCCAAUAAGAAUUUAUUGAUCAGUGAAUGAAUGCAUGCAUGGAGAAUAACUGAUCUACACUCUAAGGAAACUGGGAGGAAUGGAGACUCCAUGGAGCAGAAAUGUUCUCCUCUUUAUACAUGACACUUCAAUACUCCAUUAAAUACAUGGGUUUCUGUGUUAGACUGAUUGAUGGUAAAGAUGACAAAAGCUUGAGCAGUCUGUUAGCUUGAGCUGAAAAAUGUGUAGCACUAACUGCCUUAAACAGUUAAAAAUAUAACUCUCUAGCUGUAGUAAAGGCUGUCAAGCUAAGAUUUGGGAUUAAUUGUUCACUGUCUAACAUGAUUUGUGAAUGACUAUAGGACCAUACCGAUUAAAUUGUACUUUCCACAAAACAGGCAGCACAUGCCUCCUACCUUGGAGAGACCCACAAUUUUGCAGAGUAGCAAACAUCUGUAAUCCAUUUGGAUGCACAGGUGACAACUCUUUUUGAGUGUUCAGGACCCUGGGACUUCUGGGAUAUGUGCUAUGUCAUAAACUUAAAUGAUGAAAAACCAGCGGGACUCCUUCAACCUUUAAUUGGAACCACUCAACGUGGCAAAGAAACUGAGCAACUCUUUUUUAUUUCAUUUAAUAUUUUCUCUUACAUUCACAAAUCAUUUAUCAGUAUCAUCUGAAAAUGAAAAAUGAUAAGUGAAGUGGUAUUUGGCACAAUACAUCCAGUUUGUUAUCCAGGGGAUGGUGUGUAUGUGCAAAAGUUCUAGCAAUGAAGUCAUACCCUGGAGAGGAAGCAAAAGGGGACUUUCUCUUCAGUUCUGGCUGAAUUCCCAGGUUUCAACCAAUGUGAGUCUACCGGAAUCAGUGAUAAUGUUUUCUGUCAUGGCUAUAAAAUACUUUCAGAGAAACAUAAAGUUUUUAUGAGAAGAAUAGUAAAAGAGAUGACUUCUUCUAUGCCUGGGGGUUAAUAUUUGUUCUUGUUGGCUCAUUUGAGAAUAGCAGAGGUUGAGUUGGAGAAAUUAAGACACAAAGGCUGGAGUUUCCCCUUGCCAGUAUUCAUUAUGAAUAGGAGCUUGAAGAUAGGCUCAAUUGCUGAAUAUUUAGGGGCCCUAAUACAUUCACAAGUCAUGGGUCCAAACAGCAGUAUUUGCUGGUUUUAUCUAAAUGCCAGUCUGCAUCAAGUGCUGGCCCCUCCCCCUUGCCUCUUCUCUUCUUUUUCAUUAGGAUGAUAGAAUUCUUUCUCUAAUAGGUUUCCAUAUUUCAAGUGUUAUUUAUUUAGAAUAGUUUAAUAUAAAAUGUCAGUGAGUUUACAGACCUUCCCGAAGAAUGGGAAUGUUAGGAUACUCAAACCACAUGCUGUCAAAAACUAUUUUAAGUUCUCUGUUUCAUCAAGUAAAUGCAGUUAGUUAAAUUGAAUUUGGAAGAUUCUCUCCACUUUGUGAUGAACAGAGAGUGAUUAUCAUACCUGUGAUACUCCUGACUUCCACAUUCUACAAGUAAAGUAGUCAUACUGAUCUUGAAGUUUAUUAGAGCUUUAAGCUGUCAGGUUAUUACUGUCAGUUUCAAGAAAAGAAAAAGUUACUGAUGUAAAAUUAAUUUAUUGAAUGGAAUUGUUUUGCCCUCAGGGAAUAACAUCACCAUUUAAUUUAAUUUCCCCAUCAUAUUGUCUCAUUUGCAAAGGAAAAAAUAACUUUUCUUUUUAACAGAAUAAAG
rnacentral:lncRNA from 1 species